UCAGACUUGGAAAGCUUAAGGCUGCUCAGUAACCCUCUGUAUUCUCCUCAUGUCCUUUUACACACAUGGGCCCCAACUGAAAGAUCCAUCUGCAAUCACUGUCCUUGAAAAGGGCUAGAUUCUUGAAAUCAUAAAUACUAAGGGAUGGAAGGGACCUCAGAGGGAUUCUGGGACUACAAACAAACCCAGUCUGAUCAGUGAUGCUCUGUUUGGAAACUUGCAUUGAUGAAGAACUAAUUACCAUCUCAGGGGCAGGAAUCGAGACCAACACAGACAUAUAUUUGAAGGUUCAGAGGCUCUCUCUGGGACCUCAAUGGACAUUAAAAGACUUUGGGGGAAUUCAUCAUGCCUCCUUCAACUGUUGAAAAACAUCCCUGAGAGGGACUGCUUCCUGGGUAACAGAAUGUAGAUGUCUGAAUGCAAUGAAGGACCUUCCCUAAAUGUUCUCUGUCCCUGCUGCCUUUGAACUUUAGCAAUGUCUACAUUUGUAAGAGCUGUUGUGAAGAUCGAAUGAAAUGAUGUGUGAAAGUACUUUGGAAACUUGAAAGUUUUAUAUAAAUGUCAGCUAUUAUACUUCAAUGGA